rnacentral:rRNA from 1 species
AGUAACACGUGGGCAACCUGCCCUGAAGUGGGGGAUAACAUCUGGAAACAGGUGCUAAUACCGCAUAACAACGAAAACCACAUGGUUUCGUUUCAAAGAUGGUUUCGGCUAUCACUUCAGGAUGGGCCCGCGGUGCAUUAGCUAGUUGGUAAGGUAACGGCUUACCAAGGCAAUGAUGCAUAGCCGAGUUGAGAGACUGAUCGGCCACAAUGGAACUGAGACACGGUCCAUACUCCUACGGGAGGCAGCAGGC